GGCUGCCAAGCUAAUCAGGUGAAAGCGCUGGUCUGAAAAGCCAGAGAGUCCGGCUCGAUACCGGGGGCGGCCACCA
rnacentral:tRNA from 1 species